rnacentral:lncRNA from 1 species
CACGCGCUGGGACGUGCAUGGAGUAGAUUAGUUAGUGCUGGUAGUGGGUUGUUGUGCGUGAGUGCAUAGCAUUAGUGCCUCGUCCUUGUAUAUAUAUAUUUGCACUGGAGUAAUGGAAGGCAGCCAUGAGGGCUAACAGAAAACAUGUAGCCAUUGUGGGUAACCAAGGAAGUGUUCUAGCGGCAAAGCCCUUGUGUUCUUCUUCCUUGGUUCAUGUGUGUGUGUGUGCGUGUGUGUUUCUGUGAGUUCUUCCAUUGUGUAAGUGUUCUUGAGAAAUAUUCGAGCUGAGAUAGUCG